rnacentral:lncRNA from 1 species
CCCGUCUGCACCCAGCUAGGUCCCGCGGCUACCCGAGAGGAACGAAGUAUUGGGACAAUGUGAACGUAGUCGCCGCCGAUUCCCACCGCACUUCAAAGAUGUGGGAACGCCAAGAUCCGCGGAAGUAACCACGCCCAGCAAGUCCCUGCGAGAUUGCCCGCCUACGUGUCUCAGCGGAGGCACAUUUCUAAAAUGUACCAGGUCUCUCGCACCCCGACGCAGGUGGAGGAAAGUGGAGAGGGAGGGGCAUCCUGUACAGAAAUCUCAAUUUAUACUCAAUUGAUGGUUGGCAAGAGUUGGGGCUCGCAGCCAAAGCGAGGCUCCCUCCCUCGCCCAUCCGGUGCUGCCUCCUCGUCCAGAGCAAUUCUGAGGGGUAAAAAUGUUGCCUUCCGUUGAACCUGAAUUUGCCCGCAGAUGCUAGCCUCCGGCCCACAGCGCGGCUGGAGCUUGUCCCCUUCCCCAGCUGUUUCCAGUCUCCGCAUCCGUCUUGUGUUGCUCCAGGUGCUUCAACAGCUCUCAGCGCUCGGUGGUUGGUGAACUGUGGUAAAGUGCACGCAGAAUAAGGUCUACGUGAUUAAGCACCGCCUGGGGGUUGGGGUCUGGAGGCCCAGCUGCACAGAUGAAAGGGAGGCUCAGAGACGUUUGGGACCAACCGAGAUCACACAGCUGAUUAGGAAUAAAAUUCAGGUCAAGCUGAAAGUCGGCCGCCACCGUCCAGCGUGGAUCCCAGGACACCGUGAACGGACUACAGAAGUUGACUUUCGCGUUUUUAAGGAGUGGGGUGCAGGGAAACAAUCCUCCGCCGGCCCUGCGGGCUGAUGCCGACCCUCACCUGCUCCCGCCACGUGGAGAGGUAGAGAGAAGCCCCGGGCCAAGCAGCAUUGAGCCCUGGUCCCUUCUAUUUAAAUAUGAAAUAUUUUGCAUACACUUUUCUAGAUGUACUUAAUAUACACAAUGUUUUAAUGUUUGUGAUUUUUUUGUUUUGCCAAAAAAAUACAAUCAAUCAGAAAUUCAUCUGUUUUUUUUUUUUUUUUCACAUAACUGUUGACUUUUACAAAAUACUGGAAGGAGAGGCUCUCAGCUUAAAUCAGGGAGUCCCUGAAUGGGGAAAACAUUUUCAUCUUGUUUCUUCUAACCGCCUACUGAUACUUGGCAUUUCCUCCAAUUAUGAGCAUAGGCUGUC